rnacentral:rRNA from 1 species
AAGGAUCAUUAUCGAGUUUUGACUGGGUUGUAGCUGGCCUUCCGAGGCAUGUGCACGCCCUGCUCAUCCACUCUACACCUGUGCACUUACUGUGGGUAUCAGAUCGUGAAGCGGGCUCUUUAAUUAGGGCUUGUGAAGUGUGUYUGUGCCUACGUUUAUCACAAACUCUAUAAAAGUAUCAGAAUGUGUAUCACGAUGUAACGCAUCUAUAUACAACUUUCAGCAACGGAUCUCUUGGCUCUCGCAUCGAUGAAGAACGCAGCGAAAUGCGAUAAGUAAUGUGAAUUGCAGAAUUCAGUGAAUCAUCGAAUCUUUGAACGCACCUUGCGCUCCUUGGUAUUCCGAGGAGCAUGCCUGUUUGAGUGUCGUGAAAUCUUCAACCUACAAGCUUUUGUAGCUUGUCGGCUUGGACUUGGAGGCUUGUCGGCUUUUAUUGGUCGGCUCCUCUUAAAUACAUUAGCUUGGUUCCUUGUGAAUCGGCUCUCGGUGUGAUAAUAUCUACGCCGCGACCGUGAAGCGUUUGGCAAGCUUCUAACUGUCUCUGUUGAGAGACAACUUUUAUGACCUCUGACCUCAAAUCAGGUAGGACUACCCGCUGAACUUAA